UACGAGGGGGGCGAGCGUUGUUCGGAAUUAUUGGGCGUAAAGGGUGCGUAGGCGGUUUUGUAAGUCUUAUGUGAAAUCUACAGGCUCAACUUGUAGUCUGCAUGAGAAACUGCAGGGCUUGAGUAUGGGAGAGGUGAGUGGAAUUCCUGGUGUAGCGGUGAAAUGCGUAGAUAUCAGGAGGAACACCUGUGGCGAAAGCGGCUCACUGGACCAUAACUGACGCUGAUGCACGAAAGCUAGGGGAGCAAACAGG
rnacentral:rRNA from 1 species